GUGCCAGCAGCCGCGGUAAUACGUGAGGGAGCUAGCGUUGUUCGGAAUUACUGGGCGUCCAGCGCACGUAAGCGGGCGAUUUAAGUCAGAGGUGAAAGCCCGGGGCUCAACCCCGGAAUAGCCUUUGAAACUAGAUUGCUUGAAUCCAGGAGAGGUGAGUGGAAUUCCGAGUGUAGAGGUGAAAUUCGUAGAUAUUCGGAAGAACACCAGUGGCGAAGGCGGCUCACUGGACUGGUAUUGACGCUGAGGUGCGAAAGCGUGGGGAGCAAACAGGAUUAUAUACCCUGGUAGUCC
rnacentral:rRNA from 1 species